AAGUCGUAACAAGGUUUCCGUAGGUGAACCUGCGGAAGGAUCAUUACGAGAUGUAUCUCUUCGGAGAAACUUCCACCCUUGCCAAAUUACUUCUGCUUGGCCUCCGGGCCAACAUCACUUCUGAAUUUGUUUUCUGAAUGAGACUAAAAUACAAAAAACUUUCAACAAUGGAUCUCUUGGUUCGAGCAUCGAUGAAGAACGCAGCGAAAUGCGAUAAUUAAUGUGAAUUGCAGAAUCCAGUGAAUCAUCGAGUUUUUGAACGCAUAUUGCACCUUUUGGUAUUCCGAAAGGUAUGCUUGUUUGAGCGUCAUUACAUCUUCAGCCCAGCUGGUUUUGUGUUUCCAGUCAGGAAACAUCAAAUGUAUGACACAUGACGUGAGCAGUAACUGUCUCUCACCUUAUGACUUCUUACUCUUGACCUCAAAUCAAGCAAGAUUACCCGCUGAACUUAA
rnacentral:rRNA from 1 species